rnacentral:rRNA from 1 species
GACGAACGCUGGCGGCGUGCUUAACACAUGCAAGUCGAACGAAAAGCGAUGGAAGCUUGCUUCUGUCAGUCUUAGUGGCGGACGGGUGAGUCACGCGUAAUCAACCUUCCCUUCAGAGGGGGACAACAGUUGGAAACGACUGCUCAUACUGCAUACGAUCUAAUCUCGGCAUCGAGGGGAGAUGAAAGGUGGCCGCGACAUGUAAGCUAUCACUUCAGGAGGGGAGUGCGUCUGUUUAGCUAGUUGGAGGGGUCAAGGCGCACCAAGGCGAUGAUCAGUAGCAGGUCUGAGAGGAUGAGUAGCCGCAUUGAGAGGGUGACAGGGCACAGACGGAUACGGGAGGCAGCAGUACGGAUUCGGCAGCAAGGGAUGAAAGUCUGACGGAGAUACGCGGAGGGAGGGAUGACGGCCGUCGGGUUGGAGAGGUCUGUUAAUCGGGAGGAAAGGGCUUCUGGCGAAUAGGGAGAAGGAUUGACGGUACCGGGAUAGAAAGCCACGGCUAACUACGUG